AGUGAACGCUGGCGGUAGGCCUAACACAUGCAAGUCGAACGGCAGCACAGUAAGAGCUUGCUCUUACGGGUGGCGAGUGGCGGACGGGUGAGGAAUACAUCGGAAUCUACUUUUUCGUGGGGGAUAACGUAGGGAAACUUACGCUAAUACCGCAUACGACCUACGGGUGAAAGCAGGGGAUCUUCGGACCUUGCGCGAUUGAAUGAGCCGAUGUCGGAUUAGCUAGUUGGCGGGAUAAAGGUCCACCAAGGCGACGAUCCGUAGCUGGUCUGAGAGGAUGAUCAGCCACACUGGAACUGAGACACGGUCCAGACUCCUACGGGAGGCAGCAGUGGGGAAUAUUGGACAAUGGGCGCAAGCCUGAUCCAGCCAUACCGCGUGGGUGAAGAAGGCCUUCGGGUUGUAAAGCCCUUUUGUUGGGAAAGAAAAGCAGCAGGUUAAUACCCCGCUGUUCUGACGGUACCCAAAGAAUAAGCACCGGCUAACUUCGUG
rnacentral:rRNA from 1 species